GACGAACGCUGGCGGCGUGCUUAACACAUGCAAGUCGAACGGAAAGGCCCUGCUUUUGUGGGGUGCUCGAGUGGCGAACGGGUGAGUAACACGUGAGUAACCUGCCCUUGACUUUGGGAUAACUUCAGGAAACUGGGGCUAAUACCGGAUAGGAGCUCCUGCUGCAUGGUGGGGGUUGGAAAGUUUCGGCGGUUGGGGAUGGACUCGCGGCUUAUCAGCGUGUUGGUGGGGUAGUGGCUUACCAAGGCUUUGACGGGUAGCCGGCCUGAGAGGGUGACCGGCCACAUUGGGACUGCGGUACGGCCCAGAGGCCUACGGGAGGCAGCAGUGGGGAAUAUUGCACAAUGGGCGGAAGCCUGAUGCAGCAACGCCGCGGGCGGGAUGACGGCCUUCGGGUUGUAAACCGCUUUCGCCUGUGACGAAGCGUGAGUGACGGUAAUGGGUAAAGAAGCACCGGCUAACUACGUG
rnacentral:rRNA from 1 species